rnacentral:rRNA from 1 species
ACAGUGGACGCGAGCAUCUGUGGCCAAGUUUUUAAGGGCGCACGGUGGAUGCCUUGGCACCAGGAACCGAUGAAGGACGUGGGAGGCCACGAUAGUCCCCGGGGAGUCGUCAACCAGGCUUUGAUCCGGGGGUUUCCGAAUGGGGAAACCCGGCAGUCGUCAUGGGCUGUCACCCGCUGCUGAACACAUAGGCAGUGUGGAGGGAACGCGGGGAAGUGAAACAUCUCAGUACCCGCAGGAAGAGAAAACAACCGUGAUUCCGGGAGUAGUGGCGAGCGAAACCGGAUGAGGCCAAACCGUAUGCGUGUGAGACCCGGCAGGGGUUGCGCAUGCGGGGUUGUGGGAUCUCUCUUCCACGGUCUGCCGGCCGUGGGACGAGUCAGAAACCGUUGAUGUAGGCGAAGGACAUGCGAAAGGUCCGGCGUAGAGGGUAAGACCCCCGUAGUCGAAACGUCAGCGGCUCGUUUGAGAGACACCCAAGUAGCACGGGGCCCGAGAAAUCCCGUGUGAAUCUGGCGGGACCACCCGCUAAGCCUAAAUAUUCCCUGGUGACCGAUAGCGGAUAGUACCGUGAGGGAAUGGUGAAAAGUACCGCGGGAGCGGAGUGAAAUAGUACCUGAAACCGUGUGCCUACAAGCCGUGGGAGCGUCGGAACAAGGCUUGCCUUGUUCUCGUGACUGCGUGCCUUUUGAAGAAUGAGCCUGCGAGUUUGCGGUGUGUUGCGAGGUUAACCCGGGUGGGGUAGCCGUAGCGAAAGCGAGUCCGAACAGGGCGUUUUAGUAGCACGCUCAAGACCCGAAGCGGAGUGAUCUAGCCAUGGGCAGGUUGAAGCGGAGGUAAGACUUCGUGGAGGACCGAACCCACCAGGGUUGAAAACCUGGGGGAUGACCUGUGGUUAGGGGUGAAAGGCCAAUCAAACUCCGUGAUAGCUGGUUCUCCCCGAAAUGCAUUUAGGUGCAGCGUCGUGUGUUUCUUGCCGGAGGUAGAGCACUGGAUAGGCGAUGGGCCCUACCGGGUUACUGACCUUAGCCAAACUCCGAAUGCCGGUAAGUGAGAGCGCGGCAGUGAGACUGUGGGGGAUAAGCUCCAUGGUCGAGAGGGAAACAGCCCAGAGCAUCGACUAAGGCCCCUAAGCGUACGCUAAGUGGGAAAGGAUGUGGAGUCGCAGAGACAACCAGGAGGUUGGCUUAGAAGCAGCCACCCUUGAAAGAGUGCGUAAUAGCUCACUGGUCUAGUGAUUCCGCGCCGACAAUGUAGCGGGGCUCAAGCGUACCGCCGAAGUCGUGUCAUUGCAGCAGAUAGCCCCAACGGGUGCUGUGAUGGGUAGGGGAGCGUCGUGUGCCGGGUGAAGCAGCACCGGAAGGUAGUUGUGGACGGUUCACGAGUGAGAAUGCAGGCAUGAGUAGCGAUUCACACGUGAGAAACGUGUGCGCCGAUUGACUAAGGGUUCCUGGGUCAAGCUGAUCUGCCCAGGGUAAGUCGGGACCUAAGGCGAGGCCGACAGGCGUAGUCGAUGGAUAACCGGUUGAUAUUCCGGUACCCGCUGUGAAGCGUCAAACAUCGAACCCAUUAAUGCUAAGGCCGUGAAGCCGCCCCGGAGCCUUCGGGCAAAGGGGAGUGGUGGAGCCGCUGAUCCAAGGUGGUAGUAGGUGAGUGAUGGGGUGACGCAGGAAGGUAGUCCAGCCCGGGCGGUGGUUGUCCCGGGGUAAGGGUGUAGGCCGUGCGGUAGGCAAAUCCGUCGCACACAAGGCUGAGACCUGAUGCCGAGCCGAUUGUGGUGAAGUGGAUGAUCCUAUGCUGUCGAGAAAAGCCUCUAGCGAGUUUCAUGGCGGCCCGUACCCUAAACCGACUCAGGUGGUCAGGUAGAGAAUACCGAGGCGUUCGGGUGAACUAUGGUUAAGGAACUCGGCAAAAUGCCCCCGUAACUUCGGGAGAAGGGGGGCCACGCCUGGUGAGGGGACUUGCUUCCCGAGCUGGGGGUGGCCGCAGAGACCAGCGAGAAGCGACUGUUUACUAAAAACACAGGUCCGUGCGAAGCCGUAAGGCGAUGUAUACGGACUGACGCCUGCCCGGUGCUGGAACGUUAAGGGGACCGGUUAGUCGAGAUUCGUCUCGGCGAAGCUGAGAACUUAAGCGCCAGUAAACGGCGGUGGUAACUAUAACCAUCCUAAGGUAGCGAAAUUCCUUGUCGGGUAAGUUCCGACCUGCACGAAUGGCGUAACGACUUCUCGACUGUCUCAACCAUAGGCCCGGUGAAAUUGCACUACGAGUAAAGAUGCUCGUUUCGCGCAGCAGGACGGAAAGACCCCGGGACCUUUACUACAGUUUGAUAUUGGUGUUCGGUUCGGCUU